rnacentral:lncRNA from 1 species
AGAUAUGUAUAGGGGGAAGGAGACAGGGAUACUGGAGUGAUGGAGGUAGAUAUGUAUAGGGGACAGGGAUACUGGAGUGAUGGAGGUAGAUAUGUAUAGGGGUAAGGGGACAGGGAUACUGGAGUGAUGGAGGUAGAUAUGUAUAGGGGGAAGGAGACAGGGAUACUGGAGUGAUGGAGGUAGAUAUGUAUAGGGGAAGGAGACAGGGAUACUGGAGUGAUGGAGGUAGAUAUGUAUAGGGGACAGGGAUACUGGAGUGAUG